rnacentral:rRNA from 1 species
UACGUAGGGCGCAAGCGUUAUCCGGAAUUAUUGGGCGUAAAGAGCUCGUAGGCGGCUUGUCGCGUCGAAUGUGAAAUCUCGGGGCUCAACUCCGAGCUUGCAUUCGAUACGGGCAGGCUAGAGUUCGGUAGGGGAGACUGGAAUUCCUGGUGUAGCGGUGAAAUGCGCAGAUAUCAGGAGGAACACCGAUGGCGAAGGCAGGUCUCUGGGCCGAUACUGACGCUGAGGAGCGAAAGCGUGGGGAGCGAACAGG